rnacentral:lncRNA from 1 species
UGACUUCUGGCUCCAAAAGCACCCUUCCUACGGGUUCUUCUGUCCCUGCACCUUCUGAUACAGUUGAUUCACCCGUUCCCCAAUCUGAUGGUGCCGAUUCCUGGCGUUCCAUACGCGUUUCUCGACCUCCCGCUUAUCUUCGGGACUUUUGAUGUCAUAUACUGCUCGAUAUCCCAUAUCCAAUUAUCUUUCUUCUGUUAAGCUCUCGCUUGUUUUCCAGCAUUUUCUCAUGGCAAUUUAUUCCAUUCGCUAGCCAACCUACUACCAAGAAGAUGUGAAGGAUCCCAAUUGGUCAGAAGCUGUGGUUCAUGAGCUUUGUUCCUCGACAAAACCCAAACAUGGACUUAUCCCUGUCCUCUCAUGUCAAAUCCAUUGGAAACAAAUGGGUGUUCAAACCCAAGCUUAAAACUGAUGGUACCCUUGAUUGCUAUAAAUCGUGUUUGGUAGCUGAAGGCUACGCUCAGACCGAGGG